ensembl:lncRNA
UGAGAGAUAGAGAAGGUGAAGAAAAUUUGAUGGACAGUUUUGAGUGAGUCUUAUCCAGGUAGUAAAGUGAGCAUUGGAAAGAGAAGUAGCAAUACUUUCUUCCCAGUUCCUUGCAUUAUAUGCACUCUGCCAUGAAAGGGUUGUGGCCCUGGCUGUGCACCUUGCCUGUCACCAUACCUACCUGUCACCUGUAAAUCUGCUUUUCCAGACUGAAUUAGACCGGAUGCCACAGCACUCAAUGCACAUAUUCUUGGACCGUUCUCUUUUUUUUUUUUACAGUUACUUAGCACCUUAACACACUAACUGUUGCUUCUGCAUGAUAUCCAUCCCUGGAAAACACUUCCAUGCAUUUCCACAGAGGGUCAUAAAAAGAUGUGACGAAGAGAACAUGCCAGCUUAGGAACAAAUUUGAAAGGACAGUAGCCAAGAGUAAAGUAAUUAUUGUCAACUGAGUCCAAGAAGUGUAGACAUCUUACGUAUGACCUUGUCGUAAGGAACUAAAUGGAACAAGGCUAAGGAAGUGUGCAUGUGUCACUGAUUGAUUUAAUCCUGCCAAACUCUUAAGUUUUGGAUGGAGUCUGAGAGUGACAACUCCCAGAUCAAAUGUGCUAGAAGAAAGAGCCAGAGGCAAUAUUCCUGCCCAAGGACCCUUCCAUUGCAAAGGAAACCCUUCAGUUCUCUUCCUUGGAAGACUUUGUUCUUCUUUAUCACUGAGCAGAGGGAACAGGUAUUACACAAAGAUAAAGUUAUUGCUUGCACCUGUCUGGAGCACAAGAGUGAAGCCCUGAAACUCCCCAACACAGCCCAUGGGAAUUUGGAGGUUGGACAUUCCCCACAUCAGUCUAAAUACCUUCAGCACUAUCGGACUGUGCUCUAACAGGAGCUAGAAUAGACUGGAAGCUGCACAGGUCAUAAAAGCCAGUGCUCAUAAAUACUUGGAGAGCUCCAAAAAUGGUUUCAUCCCUACAGUGUGAGACAAGAAUUAAGCUUAUUUAGCAGUUUUGAACUCUAUCACAAUACUUAUUUUAGGAAAAGACAGACUGUGCUGUAUCUGUUUCAUUACAUGGGUUGAAUUUGUAAUUUGUAAGCCUACACUUUCUGUUUGUCUUGAAUUAUAGAAGUAUAUAGUGCAGUGAUUUCAAGUGACAGAUCCACUAAAUGUAUAGUUUGUUGGAAUUAUAUCUACUUUUCUUCUUUAUUUAGGCAAUUUAGACUAAUUUAAAUGAUUGUUUCUUUUCUAAUCUCCUGACAGAUAGGAGGAUAACAAGAACUCUUGUUCAGGCCAUUCAUACUAGAACACUUCUGUACCUCUCAUGUUUCUCUUUUCUUUAUCUUGGUAAAACAGAUACCACAAAGAAAAACCAGCAAUCCAUUAUUAUUAUUUUUUUUAAUAGUAAAAGUAGUCCAGCACUUACAAGUGGAAGUUUUACAUGAGUAAUGGUUCAGUCAAGCAGUAAUACAUCACUGAACUGGAAUUAUGCAGACCUCUCUUGGACACUGUGGUCAGUUUCUGACCUGAGCAGCUCUUGGGUAUGCAUUCAUGAUGAUUCAGAACAUUGUUUCAUGUGACUUUUACAUACAUUUGCAAUUUUUAAAAAUAUUACUGUAUUUGUGUUCUUGCUUUCCCCCACUGCUGUGAAAUGAUUCAUGGUUGAGUUGUAUUCUCCUGGCUCCUCUUGGCCUUGCAAAAGACAGCAAGUGUUUUACAGCAAGCCUUCAGACUCCUGCCUGAGGAAGCUCUGUGCAACUAGAAUCCUUUGUCUAUAUUCCCUGUUUCUUUCCAGUCAAUGAAAAUGAUAAAAAUAAUGUUUGAAAGCCAGCAUAGCUAUCCGUGACUCCUAAAAUUGUUAAAAUGUUUCGUUCAUCCUGAAAUAUUC